AUGAGUUAGGGUCUUCUAGGCCCGACCUCCCAACCCUAUGUUUACCAAACCAUCGUUGCUUCGGCGAGCCCGUCCGCUAUGGACCGCCGGGGAGCUGUCACAGGCUCUCUGGUCCGUGCUCGUCGGUGGCCAAUUUACAAAUUCUUAAUUAAACGUGUCUUGAUCUGAGUACCAUAUUUUAAUCAAAAUUAAAACUUUCAACAACGGAUCUCUUGGUUCUGGCAUCGAUGAAGAACGCAGCGAAAUGCGAUAAGUAAUGCGAAUUGCAGAAUUCCAGUGAGUCAUCGAAUCUUUGAACGCACAUUGCGCCCUUUGGUAUUCCGAAGGGCAUGCCUGUUCGAGCGUCAUUAUCACCCCUCAAGCCCCCGGCUUGGUGUUGGACGGUUGGUGGCGGUAACGUCACCCCUCCCAAAGACAAUGACGGCGGCCUCGUUGGACCCCCGGUACACUGAGUUCCUCACCGAACACGUAUCGGAUCAAGGGUGCGCGGGUCACGGUCUGCCUCCCCUCAGGGAGAACUUUUUUCAAG
rnacentral:misc_RNA from 1 species